rnacentral:rRNA from 1 species
CUACCCUUGACAUGUCCGGAAUCCUGCAGAGAUGCGGGAGUGCCCGAAAGGGAAUCGGAACACAGGUGCUGCAUGGCUGUCGUCAGCUCGUGUCGUGAGAUGUUGGGUUAAGUCCCGCAACGAGCGCAACCCUUAUCAUUAGUUGCUACGCAAGGGCACUCUAAUGAGACUGCCGGUGACAAACCGGAGGAAGGUGGGGAUGACGUCAAGUCCUCAUGGCCCUUAUGGGUAGGGCUUCACACGUCAUACAAUGGUCGGUACAGAGGGUUGCCAAGCCGCGAGGUGGAGCCAAUCCCAGAAAGCCGAUCGUAGUCCGAAUUGUUCUCUGCAACUCGAGAGCAUGAAGUCGGAAUCGCUAGUAAUCGCGGAUCAGCAUGUCGCGGUGAAUACGUUCCC